AGUAAUUUUCUAUUCAUUUAAAAAGAAGGUGUUGAAUGUAAUGAAUAACUGUUAGAGAUCUCAAAAUAUUAAUUAAAUAAAAAUUAAUAUUUUGAUCGAAAUAUGAGAGAUAUUGUUAUUAAUGAAUUGGCAACACUGAAUUAUUAUCUACUCAAUUUUUUUAUUUAUUUUUUUUGUCAAUUCAAAGCACGUGUUGUGUAAAUGCGAAUGAAAGUGAUAGCGAUUGCUGUAGUGAUUAAUUAUUAUUUUUGAUUGUUUUAUUCUAAUUAUAUUAGUUAUAUAAUUAUUCAUGUUCUUCGAAUUUCCAAGCAUUUGAUUGUUUGACAGAAACAGGAGAAAAUCACCAGAAUCUAAGUUUCAUUCUGGUUGUGGCUGGAAAUGAAUUGUCAACGUCGGUCGUCGAGAGACGAACUCAUUACAACUUUACAAGCUUCAAUCUCCGAAGAAGAAGCUGGAAGCAUACAAGUGAAGAAUGGUGCCAACGAAAAAAAAGCUAAACGUUUCCUUGAAAGCGAAAAUAUCUGUAAAUGCUCUUGAAUAAUAAUUUUUCAUUUCUUCGGCAUUAUUAAAGAGCUGGAAUUUGCAAAUCAAAUUUCUGAAGGUGGACGUGGACAAAAUUACCGUAACCUGCGCCGGUAUGAUUCCAACAUUACUCGAUUCCGAUGUAUCGUAGAUUUUCACUUACUCGAACUCGAGCCAUGGAUUGUAAUUACACUACCGGUUUUCGUGCUUUCCAAUCCAAUCUACCUGCUACUG